rnacentral:misc_RNA from 1 species
GAUGAAGAACGUAGCGAAAUGCGAUAAGUAGUGUGAAUUGCAGAAUUCAGUGAAUCAUCGAAUCUUUGAACGUACAUUGCGCCCCUUGGUAUUCCAUGGGGCAUGCCUGUUCGAGCGUCAUUUGUACCUUCAAGCUCUGCUUGGUGUUGGGUGUUUGUCUCGCCUCUGCGCGUAGACUCGCCUCAAAACAAUUGGCAGCCGGCGUAUUGAUUUCGGAGCGCAGUACAUCUCGCGCCUUGCACUCAUAACGACGACGUCCAAAAGUACAUUUUUACACUCUUGACCUCGGAUCAGGUAGGGAUACCCGCUGAACUUAAGCAUAUCAAUAAGCGGAGGA